GAGAGAGAGAGAGGAAGGAGCUUCAAAGACAAGAGGUAGAGGAUAGACAAAGGGAUCCGGUGAUCCUAGUGUUAUAAGUGUUAUACAGUAGAUCUGGAUUCCUGGAAACAUCUGAGUUCACACACAGUUUGACAGCUGUUGUACAGUGUCAUGUUUCUCUGUAGUGGCCUGCUUGAUGUGGUCAGUUUGGGAUGAUAUGUAUUGGACCCAAGGUGGAGCAGUGGUCAUUACCCACCGUCACCCAUCACCAUGCCAAAAACACCUCCUUGCAGUUCCAUUCUCCAUAGAGCAUGGUGUCUUCUAGGUGAACAGACUUUACCUGGCUGAACAUGGGGGACAUGUAUUGUUAAUAUGAAAUAGACAGGAAAUAGCAGCUGCAGAAAUAUACCUUCAUCUCACACAGUUGUACAAGACACAGCAAGUUUCAGGAUGAAUGGGUUGUGAAGAGACAGAGACAGGACAGCCAUGGUAAACAGGGAACUGGACUUCUUGCAAGUUGUACACAAAAUGAAGUUCACACACAUGGUUUGACAGUUGUUGUACAUUGUGAAGCGUCUCCUUAGUGGCCUGCUUGAUGUGGUCAGUUUGGGAUGAAAUGUAUUGGACCCAAAGUGGAGCAGUGGUCAUUAAUUCCCUGGGAUGACCCAUUGUUAUGACAGUGACUGGACUGCUUGCAGCUCCAGUCUCCAUACAGCAUGGUGUCUUCUAGGUGAACUGACUCUACCUGGCUGAACAUGGGGGACAUGUAUUUUAUAAGAAGCAGACAUAAAAAGGCAGCAACAGGAACAUCUUCAUCUCACCCAGUUGUGCAAGACAUGGGAUGUGGCAAGUUUUAGGAUGAAUGAACAGCCAGAGACAGGACAGCCAUUGUAAACAGGAAAUACAGUUCCGGAAUUGUAUGAAGAACUGCUGGCAGACCAAGAGGUCAAUUUUAUACUGAGUGAGAGAGAGUGCUGCCAGAACCACCCAGAACAAGACUUCCAAACAUGGCAGAUCCUGUGGAGCCAGUUAUAUGGAACAAUACAAUUACACAACAAAUGUGGGUUUCAGGUAACACAAAGAAUCCAUUUCCCCCAUAUACAUGGAAACUAUAGAGGCAGGGUAUAUAAAGCAAGGAGAUUGUUUUGGACAAUACUCUAUCACUGAAGACAAAUAGACACAAUGGAAAUGUUUAAAAGUGAAUUGAUAUUUCAGCUCAGUUGUGAUGUGUUAUAAUAAUUUUCCCCAUAUGCAUGGAAACUGUUACAGUACUAGUAGAGGUAGCAUAUACAGUGAGAUCGUGGUAGACAAUAAGUCAUCACUGAAGAGAAAAAGACAUCAGUGAAAAUGUUUAAAUGUGAAUAUAUAUUUCAGGUCAGAUAUGAUGUGUUAUAGAUGAUCUCUGUUAUUGUGAGGUCAUUAAGGUAUAAUUGCAAAUUUUAUGACAUAUUUAUUAUAUACAGACACUUUCAGUCUGUCUAUAUUCUGAUCACUGUGUCUGUCCAGUGUCAUUGCCAUAGUCAGCACUUUGUGACACAUCUGUUGUUUACCCUAAAACUGGUAAUCUGUAUUUUUGUUUUGAAUUCCUCUAGAAACUCUGCAUGAUUUGAUUAUUUUAUGAUAUUGUUUUGUUAUCAUUAGCAGUUUGGAUAUGAUGCUACAGUAUUUCCUGAGUAUAUCAAAUUCAAGUAAUUUCUGAUUCUGAUAUUUAUUUUAAUUACUAAAUAUUGCCAUCUUGUGAAUUUAUGAAAUUAUUAUAAGUUCAUUGUUAAAUGAUUUGUCAGGUGCAUGGCAGCAGUCAGAAGGUUCAUUGGUCUGAUAGUUUGAUGAUGCCAA